rnacentral:rRNA from 1 species
GUGGGGAAUUUUGCGCAAUGGGGGAAACCCUGACGCAGCAACGCCGCGUGAGUGAUGAAGGCCUUCGGGUCGUAUAGCUCUGUCAGAGGGAAAGAAAUGCGGGAGGGUUAAUACCCCUUUUGCUUGACGGUACCCUCAAAGGAAGCACCGGCUAACUCCGUGCCAGCAGCCGCGGUAAUACGGAGGGUGCGAGCGUUGUUCGGAAUUAUUGGGCGUAAAGCGCGUGUAGGCGGUCUUUUAAGUCUGAUGUGAAAGCCCCGGGCUCAACCUGGGAAGUGCAUUGGAAACUGGGAGACUUGAAUACGGGAGAGGGUAGUGGAAUUCCUAGUGUAGGAGUGAAAUCCGUAGAUAUUAGGAGGAACACCGGUGGCGAAGGCGGCUACCUGGACCGAUAUUGACGCUGAGACGCGAAAGCGUGGGGAGCAAACAGGAUUAGAAACCCCUGUAGUCC